rnacentral:rRNA from 1 species
UACGUAGGGGGCAAGCGUUGUCCGGAAUCAUUGGGCGUAAAGAGCGUGUAGGCGGCCCGGUAAGUCCGCUGUGAAAGUCCAGGGCUCAACCCUGGAAUGCCGGUGGAAACUGUCGGGCUAGAGUCCGGAAGAGGCGAGUGGAAUCCUGGUGUAGCGGUGAAAUGCGCAGAUAUCAGGAGGAACACCAAUGGCGAAGGCAGCUCGCUGGGCGGUACUGACGCUGAGACGCGAAAGCGUGGGGAGCAAACAGG